UACGUAGGGGGCUAGCGUUGUCCGGAUUUAUUGGGCGUAAAGAGCGUGUAGGCGGCCAGGUAGGUCCGCUGUGAAAGUCCGAGGCUCAACCUCGGAAUGUCGGCGGAAACCCUCUGGCUAGAGUCCGGAAGAGGAGAGUGGAAUUCCCGGUGUAGCGGUGAAAUGCGCAGAUAUCGGGAAGAACACCCGUGGCGAAGGCGGGUCUCUGGGCAACUACUGACGCUGAGGAGCGAAAGCGUGGGGAGCGAACAGG
rnacentral:rRNA from 1 species